GUGUGUGUGUGUGUGUGUACAUAUUUAAAUAUAUAUAUAUAGCUAUAUACAUAAAUUGUAACCCAUAUUUUACAGGAUUAACAAAAUCAGUCCUAGGCAUAAUAUUUACUCAAAUAAGUAGUCGCCUGUUUAUAGUAUAUUUAGUUUUUAAUUAUUUACCAAACAAUAAUAAGUGGAUAUUUCCUUGUUUAAUUGCAUGGGCAAUUAUUGAUUUAAUUCGCUAUUUAUUGUAUUCCCUCGAAACAAUAAAUGUUCACUUUAAUAUCUUACGAUCGUUUCGUAACAAAUGUAAACUUAAAUGAAAAACUCCAAAAUACGUACACACAUGCAUGCAUACAUGCAUGCAUACAUACAUACUUACAUACGAACAUGCACGUACAUAUAUACACGUACAAAAGAAAAAAAAAGAAAAAAAGACUAAAAGUAACAGUUUCAUGACAAAAUACUAAUAUAUAAAUAUAUAGCAAAGAAAAUAUAUACAAAAAUUAAAAAAUAUGUGUAUGUUUAACAGUUUUUAAUGUUUUGUUUUGUUUUUUUUAUGGAACAGCAUAUUACUAACAACCAAAUAUGUAAUUAACAAUUUAUUUUAUAUUAUUUUUAUUUUUUUUUUUUUUAGUGCCACUCAUAUUAUACCCUAUAGGAAUUACUGCAGAAGUUAUGUGCACAAUAUCGAGUUUAAAAAACAUUCGUUAUACCUCUUUUCUUAGAUCAUUUCCUUAUGCUAUGCCUAAUAACUUAAAUUUUCAAAUCGAUAUUUAUUAUUUAUGCAUUUUUGUUUUAAUUCUUUAUAUCCCUGGAAGUAUUUUGGUCUAUACAGCCGCAUGGAAAAAAAAUAAAAGAAAGGCAAAAAAUACAGACAACGUUACAGAUAUAAAAAAAAAGAAAAAAAUGUAAAGAGCAUGGCUAGGUGUGUAUACAUGUUUAUCGUACUAACAUAGACUCCUUUUUAGCUGUUAUUUUUUCAGAAAAUACAAUGAUUGAAAAAUAAGAAAAAUUAUUUAAGAUUAAUAUUUGUAUAAGAAUACUUUUAUUAACUCAAAAAAAAAAAAUAAAAUAAAAAUAAAAUAAACUAUUUAUUAUUUA
rnacentral:lncRNA from 1 species